AUUGAACGCUGGCGGCAUGCUUUACACAUGCAAGUCGAACGGUAACAGGCCGCAAGGUGCUGACGAGUGGCGAACGGGUGAGUAAUGCAUCGGAACGUGCCCAGUCGUGGGGGAUGACGCAGCGAAAGCUGUGCUAAUACCGCAUACGAUCUAUGGAUGAAAGCGGGGGACCGUAAGGCCUCGCGCGAUUGGAGCGGCCGAUGGCAGAUUAGGUAGGUGGUGGGGUAAAGGCCCACCAAGCCAACGAUCUGUAGCUGGUCUGAGAGGACGACCAGCCACACUGGGACUGAGACACGGCCCAGACUCCGACGGGGGGCAGCAGUGGGGAAUUUUGGACAAUGGGCGCAAGCCUGAUCCAGCAAUGCCGCGUGCAGGAAGAAGGCCUUCGGGUUGUAAACUGCUUUUGUACGGAACGAAACGGACUGGGUUAAUACCCUGGGCUAAUGACGGUACCGUAAGAAUAAGCACCGGCUAACUACGUGCCAGCAGCCGCCGUAAUAC
rnacentral:rRNA from 1 species